rnacentral:rRNA from 1 species
AUACGUAGGGUGCGAGCGUCGUACGGAAUUACUGGGCGUAAAGAGCUCGUAGGUGGUUUGUCGCGUCGUCUGUGAAAUUCCGGGGCUUAACUCCGGGCGUGCAGGCGAUACGGGCAUAACUUGAGUACUGUAGGGGAGACUGGAAUUCCUGGUGUAGCGGUGAAAUGCGCAGAUAUCAGCAGGAACACCGGUGGCGAAGGCGGAUUUCUGGGCAGUAACUGUCGCUAAGGAGCGAAAGAAGAGGUAGCGAACAGGAUUAUAUAACCGGGUAUCCCAUGUCGUAAACGGUGUUCUCUAUGUGUAAGGGUCUUCCCCCACUACUUUGCCUUAGCUAACGCAUUAACCGCCAAGCCUGGCGAGUACGGCAGCAAGGCUAAAGCUUAAAGGAAUUGACGUGG